CUUGCAUGGGGUCUUCUAGAAUGAAAUGAAAGGAUGGCUAGAAUAUAAACAAUGGCUCACAUCUAGUGAGAUUAGCUCUAGAGGUCCGACACAGUCAGACCUUUAAGAGGGGCUUUAGACCAUCUUUAAAGUUUGAUUUCUUGUCCCAAGUACAAUAAGAAGUGGUUAUGGGUUGGUGGUGACAUAAUAAUAGUUACACUUUGCGAAGAUUACCAUGGCUACAAUGAAGUAGACAAAUGGAGAUGGUGGGUUGGGUGGGGGAAUAGAAUUUGGAAGGCCUGGUAAGAGGCUAUUGUAAUAUUGCAGGUAGGAGAUCAUGAGCCUCGGUGGCUUGAGUGGACAUGGAAAGAGGAAAUGUGUAAUGUGAAGUUAACCUCAAUGUGAUGUGCCAAGGGCAUGUGAAAUCACAAGGAGAAAGUGCAGUAUUUACUGAGUGAGCAGCUAUUCCAGUCAAUGAGAAGGGAAAUUACUUAUCAUCAAACUUAAUGCAUGAAGAGGCAGGGGAUUCUAGGAAGAUGGACGUUUCUGCAUUCUUGCUACUCUCAACUCCAUUCCAACUCAUCUGUCUCUCCUCAGCCAGUGACUCCUGAGGGCAGUGUCA
rnacentral:lncRNA from 10 species